AUUCCAUGAUGGGGACAUUCUAGGAUGUAGUCUUGAAAGCGCUCCCAUGCUUCUGGAACAGAUUCAUCAUUUUGUUGCUAAAAACUCGUAAUCUUCCCACGGAGAGC
rfam:Sorghum bicolor cultivar BTx623 chromosome 10, whole genome shotgun sequence.